GAUGAACGCUAGCGGCAGGCUUAAUACAUGCAAGUCAAGGGGGUAGCAAUACAACCGGCGCACGGGUGAGUAACGCGUACACAACAUACCAUAUACUGGAGUAUAGCUUUGGGAAACUGAAGGUAAUCCUCCAUAACAUUGCGAGAGGGCAUCUGAUUGCAAUUAAAGUUCCGGCGGUAUAUGAUUGGUGUGCGUUUGAUUAGCUAGUUGGUAGGGUAACGGCCUACCAAGGCGACGAUCAAUAGCUGGCGUGAGAGCGCGACCAGCCACACUGGAACUGAGACACGGUCCAGACUCCUACGGGAGGCAGCAGUAGGGAAUAUUGGACAAUGGGCGAAAGCCUGAUCCAGCCAUGCCGCGUGAUAGAUGAAGGCCCUCUGGGUUGUAAAUAUCUUUUAUCUGGGAAGAAACUCCUCUAUUCUUAGAGGCCUGACGGUACCAGAGGAAUGAGCACCGGCUAACUCCGUGCCAGCAGCCG
rnacentral:rRNA from 1 species